AUCAAAUUGGCGCUGACCAGGACAAGCACGGGAGAUGAGGCCAGAGGAAGCUGGAAGACCACGAAACAAGGCUUGUUGCCGUUACUCCGCUCAGCUUCGGCUGUGCGGCUCAUCCUCCCUUCCAUGCCUGGAACCGGUGAAAUUUAAGAAGAAGAGUCAUUUCUAUGAAUCCACUUAGAAAUGCAUUGCGGUCUAUCAGUACUGCGCAUAUCCGAGCAGUCCUAGCGGCAAAAGAACAUG